GGAAUCUUGGACAAUGGGGGCAACCCUGAUCCAGCGACGCCGCGUGGGUGAUGAAGGCCUUCGGGUUGUAACGCCCUUUCGCCGGGGCCGAUGAUGACGGUACCCGGCGAAGAAGCACCGGCUAACUCCAUGCCAGCAGCCGCGGUAAGACGGAGGGUGCUAGCGUUGUUCGGAAUCACUGGGCGUAAAGGGCGCGUAGGCGGCUCUGGCAGUCGGCUCGUGAAAGCCCGGGGCUCAACCCCGGAGGUGCGGCCGAAACACCAGGGCUGGAGGCCGGAAGAGGAGGGUGGAAUACCCAGUGUAGAGGUGAAAUUCGUAGAUAUUGGGUGGAACACCGGUGGCGAAAGCGGCUCUCUGGUCCGGUUCUGACGCUGAGGCGCGAAAGCGUGGGGAGCAAAC
rnacentral:rRNA from 1 species